GACGUCAGCCGGAGCCCGGCCGCGGGUGCAGAUCAGAGGCGGCGGCCGCGGGGGGCGGGGGGCCGGGCUGGCCGCCGCCCUCCGCCCUCUGCCCUCCGCCCCCCCCGCCCGGCACCGGCUCUUAAAGGGGCCGUGUGGCGUCCCCUCCGUGCUGCCAGGGACCCCCCCCCCCGCCCCCCACCAACCUUCAGGGAGCCUUCCUAGCCCCGGCGCCCGGCCCCAGCACGCGGGGACCCCCGGCCUCGCGCCGCUCACCGCCGAGGAGGGGCCGGCUGAACGGGUCGUGGCUCGAGGGUCUUCACCCGCCGUGGCCCGGCCGGAGCUGGCGCCGCCUCCCCAGCCCCGCAGCCUUUGUUCGCGCGGGGCCUGCGGGCCCCGAGACCCUCGCGGUCCCGGGCGGCGAGGACGCUGCGCGAGCUAGGCCCGCGAGCACUUUACCUGCGGCACUGACGCCGACCCUCUCCAGCACCCCUGGAGGUGGGAACCUGGGUUUCCACUUUACUCGGGAGCAAAUUGGAAGCUCGGAGGCGAGACGGUUUGUCUCAGGUCACACGUCGCACGAACUCUGGGGAGGGUGUCCCCAGUGCAGUGCUGUCCCCCAGGCCCCGCCGAUCUCUCCAGCCCCUGAUGCUUCCGGUGAAAAGCCAUCCCCAAACAGUGCUUAUCGGGGUCCACCCUGACAAUGUGUGUUCUCCCCCAGCCCCCAGUCAAGGCUGUCGAGGGUCUGCCCCCAGGCGACUUGAGGCCCGGACGCUGGGAGUCCAGAGCGGGAACAAACAUAGGCAGGAAAGAACUGGAUGGUCCCUAGACCUGGAGGAGGUCAGGGAGCUGGAGGCAGGAGAGCCGGGAGAAGAUAUGCACCCACACACCUACUGAUUACUGAGCACCUUCUCCAGCCGGGCCCUGUGCGGGGCACUGGGAUGUUAGCUCUGAGAAAGACGACAAAGACCAUUGCCGUGAGCUGACACUGACGGGAGCCUUUGAAGACCUAAGCUCCAUAAAGCAUGAACAUUUCAUUCACCUGCCUUCCCCGUGUUUAAACAGUGUCUGAGACAUAACAGGAGCGCCGCAAAUUCGCCGAAUGGAUUCAGGAACGUUCGUGGGGCUUCAGGACAGGAGAGAGAGGAGCACGUGUCCGGCAUCGACUUUUGAACAAGCUUGUCUUUAACGGAGUGCGCCAGCCUGACGGUCAAAUGCACAGAUCACAGGCACACGUAUCGUGACAUCAUCACAAUGGGAGCACAGCGAGGUCCCCGCCACUCGGGUCCUGAUACUAAACGACUCCCACCCCGAAUCUGGAGCCUGCCACCCCCUCUCCGAACAUCGCCCCGUCUCCUCAAACACCUGCUGUCCUGACUGGUGAGUCCAGAGGUCAGCUUUGCCUGCUCUUCAUCUUCUAAGAUGAAGAUGAACUUCAUCUAAGUGGAACAAGGUGGGACGCGUCCUCUGCUGUCUGGCUUGUUCCCAGCCCACGUCGUGUUUGUGAGGUUCACACCGUUGGCCACAGCCGAAGUCCUUUUAUUUUCAUUUCUUAAUAGCAUUCUGUCAUCACCGUUCAUUUAUGUCUUCCACUGUCAACGGGCGCUCGGGUCCAUGACGCUCCGGAAACGUUCCUGCGCGUGUCCAGCCAGGCGUGCAUCUGGGCACAUUUCCGGGUGCGCCCUCGGAGUGGGGCGGCCGAGUCACGGGACAUCGUCCAGCUUCAGUGGGCGGGAGCAGCGUGUGAGCCACGUGCAGGAGCACUGACGGCCUCCCGUCCUCCCCUGAAUGUGGGGUCGCCCGGCUGGCUCUUGUGCCAUGUGUGUGACUAUCGUUCUGUGCUUUUACUUUGCGUUUUUAACGAGGCAGAGAACCAUUUAUUGUGUGUACCGGUCGAUUAGAAAAGUGCCCGUUCCAGGGUCCUCCUCAUGCCUCUCUCUUCUCUCUCCAUCUCUUCAUUUUCGUUACUGUUUUGUGGCAGCUCCCUGCUUGCCCUGGAGCGUCAGCCCUCGGAGCCGGCCCGGGGACAGACGCCGGCUGGCACUGCCUGUGCGACCCCUUCCUGGGCGCCAGGCAGGGCACAGCACAGGUCAUUGGCCCCGUUCACGCUGUGCUCGGUGUUUUUGUCCCGGUUAAGAAAUCUGUGCUCAGUGUUUGAUUUGCGAGUUACUUAUUUGUCUAUCCUAUGCUUUCAAGGUUUCUGUGUUUUUAUUUCUAAGGUGUGUCUCUUAUAUGCGGGGUUAAGAAAAAAAUUUUUUUUAAGUUUUAAAAAGCAGCCUGUCAAGGCCAUUUGUCGUAACUGGGUAUUUGGUGUGCAUAUAUCUGAUGUCCACUGUUUGGGCUUAAAUGAACCUUUUCACUAUUUGCUUUCUGUGGGUUCCCUCCCUCUCCAUUGAUCCAAAACUUAAUUUUUACUCUUUCCCACCUGUGAGGUAUCAACCUGAUUUUAGGGUGCUUUUCGGGGCUACCCUAGAGACGAAAAUGCACAUUUCUGACUCACAAAAAUCCAGUCAGAGGUAGUUAUUUUACCGUUUCCACGCAUGGCCGAGGACAGAGGUCCUUUGGGGCUGGUCCUCAUCCCGCACGGGUGCUUUCCACACUGUGACUCUUAUUUUAAGUAAAAUUUAACCCCCCGCUGUCCGUUAUUACCUUUGCUCUGUGGAGUCAAGUUCUCUGUGGAUUCACCCACAUUUACCCUUUCCUCCUUGCUCUCCUCCCUGCACCUUGGAGCCGCCGCCUCUGUCGGAAGAAAACCACCCCCACUCCAUCGUCCCUGCGGCCUGGCACGCGGUUGGUGACUCACUGCAGUUUUUGUUGUCUGGAAAUAUAUGUACUGGCCCCUCAGUUCUCAAGGAUGUUUUUGCUGGUGUGAGUGUUCAGGGCAGGAGGUGCACGAGGCAACACGGCCAAAGGCCUCAGCAAACCGGAGCCCAGCAACGUGUCAAGAGAAUGAUGCGCUCUGAUAAGCCGGGCUUUAUACCAGGGAUUCAAAGCUGGGUUAACAUCUGAAAAUGAAUCGAUGUAAUCAACCAUGGGAGCGGAACAGGGGAGAAAACCCACCUGAUCUUACGGAGAAAUCACAAGCGAGCAUUAGACAAAAUCCGAUGCCAUUCGUGGUGAAAACAGACAGACACCCCUCAGCGCGAUGAGACAGGGGUCCAGAACUGAGGGGGCCACGUUCCCGACGGCAAGCCAGCCAGCCAGACGGCGGGCGGGGUUCACGGCCACCGCGAGACGGAGCAGGCCGUGGUCCACAGCAGCGUGUGCAGGGCCGCGGCCUUGAGCUCCAGCCCCGCGGGGUCUCUUGCGGGGCACCUGUGCACGCCUGGCGCCAGAGGCCCGGAACGCGGAGGGUCUGCAGCGCCCCCUGCAGGCAGGAAGCGUGUCUGCACCUUGUUCGGGACGAGACCUUGUCUCUGUCCUCCCAGGCCGUCGGGAAAGGGGGGCUCAGGCUGGCGCCCAGCUCACGAGAGGUGCAGACCUGCAGGAAACCCGCGGCCCACCGAGCGUGUGCCCCGUGAGCGCCGGGGAAGACCUGCCCCAAGCAUCCUCCACGCGGUACAAGACGGUGCGCCGUGCCCGAGAUCGGGGGCAGGGACGAUGCCCAGGAUCGCCACUCUGUUGAGGCUGAGCCUCUAGAUUUGAGGACGACCGGAAACCCUGCUGGCAUUUCAGUGGAACCACGGGCCCCGUAGAUAAACGUUGGGGAAGCCGGGUCUCCCCAGAGAGAGCCUUCCAGUCUGUGUGAGGCUGCUUUCCGUUCUUGAAGCGCUCUUUAAUUUCUCUCGGAGGUUUUGUGAUUUUCACUUUUGAGGUCUGGUGCACCUUUUGUGUGAUUUACACUUCUAGGUACAUAUGCGAUUGGGGGAUGAAUUAUAAAUGAUUUUGAUUUUUAGUGGAAUUUUCAAACUUGUUGAGCAUUUAAGGAAAAUGAACUUCAGAGCGACCUUUUAUUCAGUGACCUUGCUAACUUUACCUCCUUGUUAUAAUGCUUAAUCUGUAGAUUAUUUGGGAUUGUC